CAAAGCACUUUGAAGAGAGAGUUAAAGAGGACGUGAAACCGAUAAGGUGGAAACGGAUAGAGUCGGCGAAUCAGGCUAGCAUUCAGCUGCCUCUCGUGUGGGCUUGUUGGCGUUCAGUUCUAGCGACUUGGGCUGGCGUUGGCUUGACUGCGCGGGAGCGGUGCAUUUGCUGGUGGUGUGCGCCGGAACGCUUGGUGCAGUGGCAUGAGCUCGUCUCAGAGGCUAGCCUUCGGGCUGGAACCCGGGGCGGGGGAGUGCUAUUUGUGCUGUGCGCUCUGUGAACGUGGAACAUGGCGAACGCGUUUGCGUCGGCGUCGGGUGGUCGGUGAGCGUCGGUCGCAUGCGACACGUGCUUGUCGGUUGCUCGGCACGGCGUAGAUGCACUGUUCUGCGCUUUUUCUCGGUGUAAAAGCCGGUCAUCUAUCCGACCCGUCUUGAAACACGGACCAAGGAGUUUAGCGUGUGCGCGAGUCAUUGAGUGUUGAAAACUCAACGGCGCAAUGAAAGUGAAGGUGCCCGCAAGGGGCUGACGUGCGACCGUGUGCCAUUCGUGGCGUGCGAGCAGCAUGGUCCCGUUCCAAUCGCUUGCGAUGGGGCGGAGACAGAGCGAACGCGCUGAGACCCGAAAGAUGGUGAACUAUUCCUGAGCAGGACGAAGCCAGGGGAAACUCUGGUGGAAGUCCGAAGCGAUUCUGACGUGCAAAUCGAUCGUCUGACUUGGGUAUA
rnacentral:rRNA from 1 species